CAAUCACUUCUCUCCCUCUUAUCUCUCAUUUCUGUCACCAAACUCUCUCUCUCUCUCUCUCUCUCUCGUACUCUCCCUCUCCCUUAACUCCUUCACAAUCUCUCUCUUCUCUGUAAAUCAGAAAACCUUUCCUCUCUAAGAUGGUGCGCUGCACAAAAGGUACAGUAGCACGGGCCAUCACCAGCUGCCAUGGAAUCAGGCGAGUUCACCCCUGCAACCAUGGAACCUACACCAACAGUGGGCGUACCACUAUUCAUCUUCGUUUCCAACCAUGGAAACACACGGGGAAGAACUUCCCCUGAUUUCUGGAAAAUUUGACCCGUGACCAUUUGGUCACUUUCAGCUCGUUUUUCCGGCCAACCUUGACCACAACUGGACUCCUAAUAGGUAUAGACUUGUUAUCUUAUUCCUAAGUUCAAAAUGGCUUUUGAAUCACUGAGUUUGGCUAAGUAUCGAGUUAGAAACCAACUUUGAAAGUUGGGAAGGAAUUCCUAGAAUUCUGGAAAUCUUGGACCGUGGCCAUUUGGCCACUUUCAGGCCAUUUUUCCAGGAAGCUUCAUCCAUGACACAACACCAAAUGGAUAUAUAUCUAUUCCCUGCAUUCCUAACUUCAUUUUGGUUUUUGAAUCACAAAUUUUGGUUGAGAAAUGAGCUCGUUUGGAGCUCUAAAAGUAAGGCCUGCAACCUGCAAAAAUCACAGGUUUCGUGAAGAAAGCGCGUGGGCGCACGUGAGGGAGCCACGUGAGUGGUGUGUGCCACGCGUGGCUACCAGUGUAGCCACCUUGCGGCGGCGCGUGGUGGUGUGAGUGGACUAAAAAUUAUUCUGAAAAUUUGUUUAGGUCCGUGACAUCAAGUAGAUCUAUUUCCUAUAUUUAAAACCUACAUUUGAGUAAUCUACGGAGGUUUUAUUUAAGUUUCCAUUUAUGUGUUAUUAAACUAAGUUAAUUAGUAAUUUCACGUAUAAAGGAAUGUAUUCCGGGGACGUACGGAGUUAAACCAGGCUAGAAGGCUUCAUUUCGACUGCGUAUCUGUGAGUGGGUAAUUUAUUUUAUACUUGUAUAUAUUUAUAGUUUCCAUAA